rfam:Glycine soja cultivar W05 scaffold3285_23, whole genome shotgun sequence.
UUACAAAGGAACGUUGACUACCAUGUGUCACAUUCUGAUUAGACACUGACAACAACAAUACAUUUUCGUCGUCCAAUCAGAACGUGACACAUGACGGUUAACGUUC